CAUUUUUUAAGUGAAAUGUUCCAGUUAUUUCUGACUCAAGGAUCCAAGAAAUAGAUGAGGAAACUCUGAUGAAGUUCAGAAACAUUAAAGAACAUGCCCAAGAUCUCCCAAGUAGAAAGUGUUAAAAGUGGGAUUCCAGUCGAGAACCAUCUAAAGCCCAACGCCUGGAGUUGGCUUGACAGAUAGCAGUGCUCGACAGGAGCAGCCCACUGAACAGUCCUGACUGUUGCAGCGAAAUUCCGAGUCAACAUUAACCAGGGCCAUGUGGGAGAAUUUCUCGACUUCCUCAGUACCUCAUGGAAAAACUGCAUGAUAUAAAAGGGCUGGACUCCUCGAGGGAAGGAAAUUGUGUACAAGGAAGAAAGAAAUGAUGAUCAGAGAAG